UCAACGACGAAAUUACGCUCCUCGGGCAUCCCUCCCGGCGUACGGGGAGGAAGGGGGGGGGGAUCAUCCUCGACCGCGACAAAACCUUCGACUGCUAGAUAUCCGUCGGGCGCGUGACGAUAAUUAAAAGUAAGUAAAAGGGCGGACGUAAGAAUAAGCGCGAAGAGAGAGAAAGAAAAAAAUCGAGCGGUCAACGGGAAGCUUCUGAUCGCGAUUCCGGUUCCGUGCGCGAGGAUAUCGCGGCCAACCGGCUCGCACUUCGCUGCGAUCCGUUAAAAAAAGAUAUCGAUUUUGCGAAGCCCCUUGUGCCGCCUCCCUUGACCCCCCUGUCCAUCCUUCACUUUUCGACGAGUCGUCGACGUUUCCCCUCCUUCGAGGGAUCCAGACAAUCGGAGCGAGGACGGACCGACGGUCAGUCUCGCGUUUAAAUCUGCCUCACAGUCGUUCACAUGGCGUUUCCCGGAUUCCUCGGGACUCCAACGACGAAAACUUCGGAUUCUCACCUGGGCGAGGGAUUCGAGAGUGGAGAAAAUUGGGGCCGUGUGUAUAAUACAUCGGAUCGUAAUUAAGCGGCGUGUACGAGAGAGCGACCGGGAAAAAAAAGAAAGCCGCCGUUAUGGUCUUCACCACGGUUUCCGGUACGGGUGCGACGCAAUCGUUGAUCGUCGUUUCACCCAGGAGUCGACGGAUCCCGUUAUUUUUACUCGAGUAUUCCUUGCUGUCUCUGAACGUCGUCAC